UGUAUGUGUGUGUUGUGCGUUUCUAUAUAAAGUGUUAGAUGCAUCUCUUUAUUGUUAUUAUACUAAUACCAGCAUCAUCUUGUGGAGUUCACGCAAAUUGCUUCUUUUCUGCACUUUGCUAUUCGUCAGUCUAAUGUGUAUAAGUCUCUCUUAAGUUUUCAUGUGAUUUGCAGGUGAUGUAGAAUAGAUGAUAGUGAAAAAGUUAGACGACGUUUUGUAUUGAAAAUUACAAAAAAAUGCGCAUCAUUUCUUCUGGAAUUUCUCCGUUAUUUCCUAGUUGGCUCUUGACUCUGUGUCAAACUCCCUUUUUGGACUAAAUUCUUACAAGUUUUAACUUCUUUCCCGCGCAACAAUAACCAAAGUUUAGGCCUUGUUUAUGAAUAAUAGUUGACUGAUCUUUAGUUAAUCAAUCAAAACAAAGCAUAGGCCUGUGAUGACUUUAAUGAUGUCAUUUCUGAAUCCACAGUACCUGACACUGAAGAAAACGUUAUGAAUAAUUAUCUAUCUUCUAAUUCUUCUUUGUUUGUCAUCAAUCCAUCAGCACAUUGGCUUUCGCCACUCACUUGCAAAUGAAAUAGGUCAGAAAAUGUAAAGAACAUCCCUCUUACAAACGAUAAAUGAAGAUAGUUUCUCUCUUUAUUUUCUUAUUUUCUCUGUACAGUAUGUUUUACGAAACUUGCGGAUGCAGAUCCAUGCCACCACUGCUUGUAAGGCAAACUUCCGGGCGGCGUGGAUCACAUCGAUAGGCUAACCGACGUCAAGCGCUGAUUCAAUGCAGAUUCGACGAAGUCACUUGAAUAUUUUUAGGUGAACCGAAUUAUCAUAAACUGUUAGACAGGCCCUUUGAGAAAACUAAUCUGAGGUUCUGAUGGCGCCCGUAGGUGAUCCUUAUGUACUGUCUCGUUACAAGUGGGGCGCGAAUCAAUGUAAAAAGAAAAAUUACGGACCUGAAGGUUCUAGGUCAAUACAGUCACUUGUGCAGACGUGGCGACGCGGCCACACGGACUGUAUUGUUACAAGACGCUUAUAGUAUAAGGUUGAUAACAGGGUUCAAAUGAGAAUAAAAGAUAAUUAGUUACUAAUGUGUAUAUGUGGGUUUAACAUCACCCAAGGGUGACUCAUAUGAGCGUGUGAGUUUUUGAAGCGGAGUCCUCGUCCCCGGGCUGACGCUUCGGCAAAGGCGCUUUGGGUUUUCUCCGGUGAAGGAGUGGCGAGCCUCGCCGAAGCGCCGGCCUGUGUGCCGAUGCCUCCGCGCGUGUGUGGCAUAAGCGAAAAUACACCUCUCAGCUAGGCAUUAGUAGAUGAUCAGCUGUGAUUGCGUUGGUGUUGUCAAGUAGUUGUAUAAAUAAUACUGCUAUUGGCAGGCGUCGUCGUAGGUACUCUUGUUCGGAGAGCAGACGCAGCGAUCCUCUGGGAUAAUGCCAGACGCUUGUUGUUACUUCACUUCCCAACGUCAUGAAGGUGAGGCCGGCCACCUUCCUGCAGCAACUUCUCACACGCAGGCAGUGAAGACCGGUGAUUAGCUAAUUUUGCAAGUGUUUGAGUACUGGAUACCGGUGAUUGGCUGGCUGGUUAGGCACGGCGUUUCAUUUGUUCUGAACGCGACCAAGAAGUUGUUUUGUGAACGUGGCCCGGCUCACGCUGUGCCAUCCAAGGAGCCGCAGUCCCUCCUCACACUUCAUCAAAGAAUCGCUCUUGGGGACGACUUUAUGGGCAAAGACUCCUAGCUGUUUGCUGACGUGUGGUCUAUCAAAAGGAACCUGUUAAAAUAUCGUGAAUAACUGUCUAUUUCAAAAUUGAUAGCUUGAAUGUCUGUUGUUUAGCAUACUUUUGAAGUGUUGAAAUAUAUUAUGGUUAUUAACGAACGAGGACAUUUACCCCAUUGUGAAAGGUGACAUGCCCUCAACAGUUAACCCUUUGACAUUAUUUUUUUCAAUGACCCAAAGAUAUUGUACUAUAUCUAUCAAAAUAUAUCUACAGUAAUCACGCAUGUAACAGUUAUACCAGUAAAUAGAAGCAUCAUUUCCAGUAACAUGUAACCAAGUUGUAGACGGCAACACCUUGCAAGAGCCGCAACUUCCAUGCAAGAGGAAAUAUAACUGAUAAGCUAGAGGGGUCUGAGAUGCGUAGGCCUACAGCUGCCGCCUGUAUUUACAAAAAAAGAAAAGAAAAAAGACAGAGGAUCUACCGGCGUUUUGUUCUAAUAUAUGUAUCCCAGGUCAUAUUUACCCGAUAAUACCCGCAUAUGAAUGAUCACAUAGGUCAUACUGAACUAAAUAUUAGAAUAUCUACACUUGUCUGGUUAACAUUAGUACUUAAAAGUUCAUUUAGUUUUUCUAUCUCAUAAAACAUUUUUACAGACCACGCUUUUAGAAAAAAUCACACUAUUUCUCUGUGUAAAAUUCCUUAUAAUAAUUUAAGGAAGUCUUAAGGUUUUGUAGUGGUAUUAAUUUUAAAAUUGAUCACGUAUGAAAGGCAGAUCAAAAUGUUUCUGUGUAAGACAUAACAAGUAAAAUUAUUAAGGCAUAAUGAAUAGGUUAACUAUAAUUUUCGAAACUCCAAUAAUCAUUUACAUUACCUGCAUACAACCACAUUUAGAUUCCUUAAUAACCUAAUUUACCUGAAAUUACCACUAACGCAAGUCUGUAACCGUAUUUAAAACAAAGGUAUACGGAAUUUCUUACCAUUCACUUUAUUAGCAAUAUACAAGCAGAAAUUCUUAUUACAUUUCUUUACGUGUUAACUUGCACAUUUUCAAUAUAAUUUCAACAUGCCUUUUACAUACAAGUGCAGUCAACAGCUGUCAAGCCCUACAAGAAGCCCCAAAGUGUUAGAAUUAAAGUAGAAAUGAUAGAAUGUUGUAAUUGGUCCAUCUGCGAAAAAACAGCCAAUGCUUUUGAGAGAUGCACAUCAUUUAGCAUAGCAAAUACAUUUAGAUUCAGGUUUCUAUUUAAAUGAUAUACCAGACAUCGGAUGUUGUAAUUGUGGCUGUGCAUGACCAGCCGAGUGAUAGUUAGGAACAAGGGAAAAAGGCCUGAGUUUUUUUCCGAAGGGUUUACACUUGUCGUCAUUAUCCAUACCCACUCAUACCCACCCGCCCUUAAACCUCCCAGCGACUUGGUUUUCUAUCGAAGAAAGCUAGAUCCUGGACGCCAAAGUAUAACAGGUUUAAAACUGCGUGUUCGUACAUCCCUUUUCGAGUCGAAGAGUCCUCUUCAGCGACUUCAUGUCCCGGAUAGUGUUGAGGGAUCUUGGGCAUAUUACGGCUCUCAUAGGCCUACCGGGUGCUCUCUUGUUCCGUCGGAGUCCAGUAGCCUCACUGGCGCUUUCACGUCUUGAAGAGAUUUGGUAGGCCUAUUGGAGGAAAUGUAAAGCCUGUUGGGUGAUCUCACAGCCGAUCCAGGCCGGCGAUCACUCUUUCUGUUGUCCUCGGAGUAAACGAACAAACCUGUUCCUCUUUGUUCACAGCAUGAAGAUAUUAGUGUAUACUAGUGACCUGCAUCGUGUGGCAUGAUGCUCUAGAUGUUCGGCAACCAUCACAAGUCUCGCUAGCAACAGCCAUAAUAAAGAGCAAUAAGUGUGUCCUCUAGGCAGGUAGGCGAACUGCAGACAAAGUAGGCUCAGAAUAUGUUUGAGAAAAUGAAUCUUCAACCUGUU
rnacentral:lncRNA from 1 species